AAAUUAAUAAAUUCGUCCUAAAGCGUGAUUAAAUUAAGUUAAAAUAAAUAGAAAUAAAAAUUAACUCGACUGUUAUACGUAUAUGUUAAACGGUGAAACCAAAAACGAAAGAUAUUCUAACAAAUAAAUUACUUGAACCCACGAAAGCUAAGAAACAAACUAGGAUUAGAUACCCUACUAUGCUCAGCCUUAAACUUUGGAACAACCUGCCUGAGUACUACGAGCCACAGCUUAAAACUCAAAGGACUUGGCGGUGCUCUACACCCCCCUAGAGGAGCCUGUUCUAUAAUUGAUACUCCCCGCUAAACCUCACCACUUAUUGCCAAUACCGCUUAUAUACCGCCGUCGUCAGCUCACCAUUUAAAUGAAAAAUAGUAGGCAUAAUGAUAAACAUAAAAACGUCAGGUCAAGGUGUAGCGAAUUAGGUGGAAAGAAAUGGGCUACAUUUUCUAAACUAGAAAAUACGAAAAAUUUUAGAAAACUAAUUUAAGGUGUGGUUUUGCCGGAAAAAGGAAAAUGGGUUUUUCUUUUUAAUUGGGGACACCCUUAAAGGGCAGCCUUAGAAGUAAGAAAAAGAAC
rnacentral:rRNA from 1 species